rnacentral:lncRNA from 1 species
CUCUAGUCCUAGGGAGAAUGAGCCUGAUGACUUUACCAUUUUCCACCUCUAAGAGCCAAUCGCAAAGGAGGCUGGCUGGCAUCUUGUGUCUGUCUAGCAUCUCUACCAGUUUCUGUAGAAAACCCUCAAGCUGUGCCAAGACGAUCAUGUCUGGACACAGCUCUUGGUGUCACGGGGUGUCUCCUCCUACUGCCUAUCGCCCUUUGCAGCCACCAGAAUAAUCAUGCAGGAGCCAGGGCCCCAUAUUAUCUACCGCUGUCCAUCUGCUCUCCAGCACAUCAGAGCAGCCCUUCCCCUGUGUGAGAUUCCUCUCCAGGGCAAGACUUGAAGGGAGCAUCAAGGUUGCAGUGGAAGAAAUAAAUUGGAAGUGGAGCUGGGCAGUUAUUUAUUUAUUUAAAUAGAGACAAGGCCGAAUGCGAUGGCUCACACCCGUAAUCCCAGCACUUUAGGAGG